UACGGGGGGGGCAAGCGUUGUUCGGAAUUACUGGGCGUAAAGGGCGCGUAGGCGGUUUGCUACGUUGAAUGUGAAAACUCUGGGCUUAACCCAGAGCCUGCAUUCAAUACUGGCAGGCUAGAGUUCUGGAGGGGAUAGCGGAAUUCCUGGUGUAGCGGUGAAAUGCGUAGAUAUCAGGAGGAACACCGGUGGCGAAGGCGGCUAUCUGGACAGAGUCUGACGCUGAGGCGCGAAAGCGAGGGGAGCAAACAGG
rnacentral:rRNA from 1 species